UACGGAGGGUGCGAGCGUUGUUCGGAAUCACUGGGCGUAAAGCGCGUGUAGGCGGCCUGCUAAGUCUGAUGUGAAAGCCCGAGGCUCACCCUCGGAAGCGCAUUGGAAACUGGCAGACUGGAGUCCCGGAGAGGAGGGUGGAAUUCCUGGUGUAGCGGUGAAAUGCGUAGAUAUCAGGAGGAACACCGGUGGCGAAGGCGGCCCUCUGGACGGUGACUGACGCUGGAGAACGCGAAAGCGUGGGGAGCAAACAGG
rnacentral:rRNA from 1 species